UACGUAGGGUGCAAGCGUUGUCCGGAUUUAUUGGGUUUAAAGGGUGCGUAGGCGGUCUUUUAAGUCAGUGGUGAAAUCCUCCAGCUCAACUGGAGAACUGCCAUUGAUACUGGAAGACUUGAGUAUAGUUGAGGUAGGCGGAAUUGACAGUGUAGCGGUGAAAUGCAUAGAUAUUGUCAAGAACCCCGAUUGCGAAGGCAGCUUACUAAACUAUAACUGACGCUGAGGCACGAAAGUGUGGGGAUCAAACAGG
rnacentral:rRNA from 1 species